GAUGAAGAACGUAGCGAAAUGCGAUAAGUAAUGCGAAUUGCAGAAUUCAGUGAAUCAUCGAAUCUUUGAACGCACAUUGCGCCCGCUAGUAUUCUGGCGGGCAUGCCUGUCUGAGCGUCAUUUCAACCCUCGCCCCCGGCUUUUGCUGGGAGCGGUGUUGGGGAUCGGCCGCCCGUCACUGGGAGGCCGGCCCCGAAAUAGAGUGGCGACCACGCCGUGUGCUCCUCUGCGUAGUAGUAAAUCACCUCGCAGGCGGACAGCGGUGCGGCCUGCCGUAAAACCCCCAACUCUUUCUGGUUGACCUCAGAUCAGGUAGGAAUACCCGCUGAACUUAAGCAUAUCAAUAAGCGGAUGA
rnacentral:misc_RNA from 1 species